rnacentral:rRNA from 1 species
ACGCACGCUGGCGGCGUGCUUAACACAUGCAAGUCGAACGGUGAAGCCCUUCGGGGUGGAUCAGUGGCGAACGGGUGAGUAACACGUGAGCAACCUGCCCCUGGCUCUGGGACAACCACUGGAAACGGUGGCUAAUACCGGAUACGACCCGCCUCGGCAUCGAGUGUGGGUGGAAAGUUUUUCGGCUGGGGAUGGGCUCGCGGCCUAUCAGCUUGUUGGUGAGGUGAAGGCUCACCAAGGCGACGACGGGUAGCCGGCCUGAGAGGGCGACCGGCCACACUGGGACUGAGACACGGCCCAGACUCCUACGGGAGGCAGCAGUGGGGAAUAUUGCACAAUGGGCGAAAGCCUGAUGCAGCGACGCCGCGUGAGGGAUGACGGCCUUCGGGUUGUAAACCUCUUUCAGCUCCGAAGAAGCGAAAGUGACGGUAGGAGCAGAAGAAGCACCGGCUAACUACGUG